rnacentral:sRNA from 1 species
CAUUGCGUGUUGACAUUUUUUUAGCGUGUGACAGCUGAUUUCUUGUCCUUAUUGGAUGACUCUUGUGACUUAACCAACCAUUUUUCAAAGACGAAUGUGAUAAUUUUAGUUUCUUUUUCACAUUUUGAUGGAAAUUAAAAGCUUUAAAAGUCCAGUAAAAUAAUAUAUUUAACGCUCUAAUCGUGGGUAAAAAUAUCCAAAUGCCGAUAACUGAUGUCAAGUGGACGAGGAAAUUUACAAAAGACUCGCCAGGAAAGUAUUUAAUUAUCUUCUCUGUUCCAUGUGGAUAAUUUAUCAAAAUAUGGUAAGAUCCGUUUUCCUUAAAGGGUGAAUUGAUUUGUGUCCCCAACUCUGGUAGAUAAAACAUUUGGGUACAAGGCUGCUGUGGAUAUUUAUUGAAACAAUAGGUUGACAAGAACGAGAGUUCAGGACGAUCAGAGAAACGUGCAUUAUAAUGCUGUGGUAUUAAUUUGAUGUAACGACGAUAACUCCAUUCAUUUUUGACGGCAAGAUGCAACUCUCCAACACAGCUGUGGAUACACCUUAUACGCUGUUUACAAUCUAAUUGAGUAUAAUCGAAGCAAUCAGUUACAUAAGGAUAAGGUUUUGAUUUGAUUUUUAUCCUUUUAAAAGUGAUUGAUGCCUGGUUAUUCUCUGAUGUGUCGAAUUGGAUGAAACUUGGAUUUCCCAUUGCAUUUUCAAGACCCGAAGUCGGAUUAUUGAGAAACACACCAAUCUUGGAUGUUGUCAAGACUGAUUUAUUGAUCGUUAUUUCAACCAGCUGGUUGCCCCAGUGAUGGUAAUUUUGGUAUUUCAGUUUGUUGAAUGAUGAAUCGAAGAUGCGAAAGCAUUUUGAAUAUAAGUUCAAAUAUUCAGAAAUAUUGGGAUCAAGAUGCGUACAGGAAACGGGUUUGUGGAAUCCUGGUACAACAAUCAAGCAAGAAGGCACAAAUUGGUCCCACGUUGGUAGUAGAUCAUUGAUUUGUUUCACUGUUAAUCGAGUGGCGUGAUAAUGAUCUGCUGAUUCUUGUAUAGUUGGUCCAUAUUUAGGAUCAAUAUCGUAAAAGAAACAUACUGAAAUGGAUGGCAAAGUAGCUUUUUUGUAGGUCCUUAUGUCAACUUUGGUAGUCACUCUAAAUGCAAUGUAAUUGGAUAUCACAAUUAUUAAUGAGGAUAUUAAUCCAAAAUAAGUGAAGAAUUGAGAUAAACGAAAUAUCAUGAAUCUCGAACGAUCAUUCGAGUAAGCUGGUUGCUUUUGCCGGUCAACAUUUCGAUGCAAAUUGCGUCGUUUAAAAAAGUCUGGUUUCAAGGUAUAAAUUUUCAUGUUGGAACUGAACAAUCAGAUGAUUACAUUGCAAUGAAAUGAACAAGUGAAAGGAUGAGCUCGCAAAAUGUAACAUUUUU